AACGAACGCUGGCGGCAGGCUUAACACAUGCAAGUCGAACGGUUGUAGCAAUACAGCAGUGGCGCACGGGUGAGUAACACGUGGAUAUCUGCCUUUUGGUUCGGAAUAACCCUGGGAAACUAGGGCUAAUACCGGAUGGUUCCUACGGGAUAAAGAUUUAUCGCCAAAAGAUGAGUCCGCGUACGAUUAGCUAGUUGGUGAGGUAAUGGCUCACCAAGGCGACGAUCGUUAGCUGGUCUGAGAGGACGAUCAGCCACACUGGGACUGAGACACGGCCCAGACUCCUACGGGAGGCAGCAGUGGGGAAUAUUGGACAAUGGGGGCAACCCUGAUCCAGCCAUGCCGCGUGAGUGAUGAAGGCCUUCGGGUUGUAAAGCUCUUUUGGCGGGGACGAUGAUGACGGUACCCGCAGAAUAAGCCCCGGCUAACUUCGUGCCAGCAGCCGCGGUAA
rnacentral:rRNA from 1 species